rnacentral:rRNA from 1 species
AUGACCCUCCCUCUGGCCGGGAUGGAUAGCCCGGACCCUCCCCUUGCCCGCUGGCCGCCGCCCAUGGAAGCCACCCACGCAGGUCGCCGCGCCGAAGAAAAUCUUUGGGAUCAAAGAAACCCACCGGGUUCAAGCUCCGCUUCCGGCCGCGGCAAUGGCCGCCAGUGUGGUGGCCACCUCUCCCGCAACGUACCGCCGUCCUCCUGCCGCCAACGAGCAAAAAGAGCAAGAAAACCGAUGGCGGCGUCCCUCGCCGAGGCGGACGUGAAGAAGAAGAAGGCCACAACGGCGGCCCGUCCAAGGGCGGGGCCUUGUGCAGCUACUCCGCUUGCCCAUACGGACACUGCUCUCGCGCAAGCGGCGGCUGCAGCCGGCACUAAGGGUCACGGGCGCCAAGUGCUCGAUGAAAUUCUGACAAGAGAUGAACACGACCAAGAGGCGUCCCAAGACAUGGAGCAAGAGGAUGUGGUCGAAGAGGAGGAGGUGGUCGAGGAAGAGGAGGCCGAGGAGGUGUCGGCCUAUGAAGAGGCGAGCGAUGAAGAGGAGAUUGCAGAGGUGACCGAAGCAAGCAUGCGUCCGUCAAGGUCACGCACCACCAACUACAGUAAAAAAGAUGGUGCUCUUUGUUAUGCUUGGAUGAACAUCUCCAUGGAUGCAAUGAUUGGAACGGAUCAAACGAAGACUAUGUUUUGGGAGAGAAUUACCGAGCACCACAACAACUCUGUGGACGUGCAAUCGAGCUGUAUACAAGGUUCUCUUGAGCAUCGUUGGAGCACCAUUCAUGACCAAUGCAACCGAUGGCCCGGUUGCAUCAACCAAGUGAAUCAUGCACCACCGAGCGAUGUGCAAGUGGUGGAGUAUGGCGCCUACAUCCAGGAACUAUUCAAGCAUAGGAACACCAAGUUCGGCCACACGCCCUUCACAUUGCCUCAUUGCUACAAAGAGCUAUGCAAGAACGAGAAGUGGAUCGAAAGAAUCAUGGAGACCACUCCAAAGAGAUCAGGGUUGAGCAUAUCCGUUGAGGAGGAGGACGAGGUUGACGAAGCUGCCAACAAUAAAAUGAAAGAAGAGAAGACGGCGAGGUGGAAUGAGCUAAAGAUGUUGGAGGAUGAGAAGCGGAAGGCCAAGUUGGCGGCCGAAGAGAGGAAGGUGACGGCGGAGGAGCGUAGGCUUGCACUUGAGGAGAAGAGGAUUCAUGAUGCCAAGAAGUCCAAAGAACGUGCUAUCAUGUUUGUGAAUCCAAACACAAUGGAUGAAACCGCAAGAUAG